rnacentral:rRNA from 1 species
UAGGGAAUAUUGGACAAUGGGGGCAACCCUGAUCCAGCCAUGCCGCGUGAGUGAAGAAGGCCCUCGGGUUGUAAAGCUCUUUUGUCCGGAAAGAAAAGCUUCGGGUUAAUACCCCGGGGUUCUGACGGUACCGGAAGAAUAAGCACCGGCUAACUUCGUGCCAGCAGCCGCGGUAAUACGAAGGGUGCAAGCGUUACUCGGAAUUACUGGGCGUAAAGCGUGCGUAGGUGGUUGUUUAAGUCUGAUGUGAAAGCCCUGGGCUCAACCUGGGAAUGGCAUUGGNAACUGGGCAGCUAGAGUGCGGUAGAGGGUAGUGGAAUUCCCGGUGUAGCAGUGAAAUGCGUAGAGAUCGGGAGGAACAUCUGUGGCGAAGGCGACUGCCUGGACCAGCACUGACACUGAGGCACGAAAGCGUAGGGAGCAAACA